rnacentral:rRNA from 1 species
GGAGCCUGUGGCACGGCUGGCCGUGCCCCCCUAAGCUGAGCACCUGGACUGAGCCUGCAGCGGGGGGCUCACCUUUGUGGCCAUGGCCCUCUCUCAGGUUGUUAAACCUCUCUCCUGUGUUUGCCUGGUCUGUAGGACUCCUGCCAAGGGAAGGCAG